CGCACAAUAGAGCAAAGGUAGCUCGUCAGCCUCAUAAGCUGAAGGAUGCAGGUUCGAGUCCUGCUUGUGCGU
rnacentral:tRNA from 1 species